rnacentral:lncRNA from 1 species
AAAUACAUAUUUGAUUGAAGAAAGAAAACACAAAAAAAAUGGACCAGGUUUCCUCAAAGAAAAGCAAAAUGGGAAAAUAGGGGAAUAGUCUAUAUAAAAACCAACCCACCGCCCAUGGAGAACCAUCAUUCUUCUGAGCAAAAAUCUAUACAAGAUUAGCCCAAACCUCCAAUAUAGUAAAAUGGGUUCGACGAACUAUUUCUAAUCUUUCAUUUGCAAAGUAAAGCUAAAAUUAGAAUUGUCUACUAACAACCUUCCUAUAGUUUGCCCACUAUAUUAUUA